rnacentral:miRNA from 1 species
CACCUCCCCUGCAAACGUCCA